rnacentral:rRNA from 1 species
UCUGGUUGAUCCUGCCAGUAGUCAUACACUUGUCUUAAAGAUUAAGCCAUGCAUGUUUGAGUGCUUUGAUUGUCCAACAUUAAACUGCAGACGGCUCAUUACAACAGUUAUUGUAUUGUUGAGGUUAUCUUAUAGGUGGAUACCUGUGGAAAUUCUAGAGCUAAUACAUGUUACAAAUUAUAUAUUGUCGUAAUAUAUAAAGCUUUUAUUUUUAUCAAAUCAAAGUGUUUCUGCACUAUGGGUGAUUCGUAAUAAUGCUUUUGAGAUCGCUUUAUAAGUGACGAUUCAUUCAAGUUUCUGACCUAUCAGUUAGUCAGUAGUGUAUUGGACUAUUGAGGCAUUGACGGGUAACAGAGAAUUAGGGUUCUGUUCCGGAGAGGGAGCCUGAGAAACAGCUACUACAUCUAAGGAAGGCAGCAGGCGCGUAAAUUACCCAAUUCUGAAAAAGAGAGGUAGUAAAAACAAAUCACAAUAUUUUGCCUUAGGGUUAAAUAAUUGUAUUGAGAACAGAGUAGAUACGUUAUCGAUAAACUAUUGGAGGGCAAGUCUGGUGCCAGCAGCCGCGGUAAUUCCAGCUCCAAUAGUGUAUGCUAACAUUGUUGCAGUUAAAAAGCUCGUAGUCGAAUUUUUAAGGGAACCAAUUUCGUGUGGUCUUAAUGAACUACAAGGGAAUAUGGUUUAUCUUAUUUUAUGCUUGUACACCGUUGGAAUUCGUUUUCUGACGGUGAGAUAAGUUUCUGUUUACUUUGAGAAAAUUAGAGUGUUCUAAGCAGUCUUACGACUUUAUCCUAAAGCAUGGAAUGAUAAGUAAUGACAUCGGUUAAUUUGUGAUGGUUUGAGAGGUUGAUGUAAUGAUUUAUAGAGUUAGUUGGAGGUAUUAGUAUUUUGUCGUUAGAGGUGAAAUUCCGGGAUUGACAAAAGGCUAACAACUGCGAAAGCAUUUGCCUAGGAUUUGCUCCUUGAUCAAGAACGUAAGUUGGGGGAUCGAAGACGAUCAGAUACCGUCGUAGUCUCAACUUUAAACUAUAUCAGCUAGGGGUUGGCAAAUGUUUAUAUGACUUUGUUAGAACCUUUGGGAGAAAUCUAAGCGUUUGGGUUCCGGGGGGAGUAUGGUCGCAAGGCUGAAACUUAAAGGAAUUGACGGAAGGGCACCACCAGGAGUGGAGCCUGUGGC